rfam:Triticum aestivum genome assembly, contig: Triticum_aestivum_CS42_TGACv1_scaffold_406189_5BL
CACCUACUCAUUCUGUCCGAAAAUACUUGUCAUCAAAAUGGAUAAAAGGGGAUGUAUCUAGAUGUACGGAAAAUAUUUUAGUUCUAAAUACUUGUCAUCAAAAUGAAAAGAGAUGUAUCUAGAACUAAAAUACAUCUAGAUACAUCCCCUUUUAUCCAUUUUGAUGACAAGUAUUUUCGGACGAAGGGAGUAUCUC